GUCUCCUUACGCCACCCGCAACCCAAGCCAGGGCCCGGGUGACAGCGGCGGGGUGGGCCAGGACCGGGGAGGGGGUGCCCAGCAGCGACCCCCGGCUCCCCCUAAGGCCGGGCGCAGCUCGGAGCCAGGAGCUGGCCCGGCGCGUGGCUUCCCGGAAGGCCCGGCGCAGCCGGAAGGUGGGACGGAGGGCGGGGCCAGCGCCGGGGCCGCCACCAAAGCCUGCGCGACCCUCCGCGGGGCUGGGGCCGGGGCUGGGGAGCUGGGCGGGGAGCCCGGGGCCUGCCAGGCCCGGGCUGCAGCCGCGUCUGAUCGCCGAGCGCGCCGCGUAGACCUCCGCUCCCCCAGGUAAAGGAGCGCCCGGAGCCGGGGCGGGGCGCCUCCCAGGCCGCGCCCCGCGAGAGGAGGGGGCACCCCAAGAGCGGGCCUGGAGACCCGGGAGUGCCUUGGGGAGAGGGUCCCCGCCCUGCAGGGAGCCCGGCCCUCCCGGUGCCGGGGUGGACACUGUUAGUGUAGUCAUUGUCCCUAUGGAGAAACUGAGGCAUGGAGAGGCUGAAGUCACACAAGGGGGGCUGUCGGGGGGCUGUUAGGUGCCUGGAUGACAAGUGGACAGUUUAAGCCGGUUCCUCAGAUCCUAAUGGAGCUGCCCCCUGCCGAGCAACAGAGGCUCUUUAACGAAGCCGCAGCCAUCAUCAGGCACCUGGAGUGGACAGACGCCGUGCAGCUGACCGCGCUGGUCAUGGGCAGCGAGGCCCUGCAGCAGCAGCUGCUGGCCAUGCUGGUGAACUACGUCACCAAGGAGCUGCGGGCCGAGAUCCAGUAUGAUGACUAGGCCGCACCUCCGGGGAGGUGGGGGGCCCCUUUAGAUGACUUUGUGACUCUGAAGAGGUGGCUUGGGAGUUGGGAGAAGCCCAGCGGAUGCCCCUGGGGGAUCUCCACAUCAUCAGUGUAUUACUGGUAAUGUCCUGCUGGAGAGGCCACCGCUGUGCAGUGUCACGUUCCAGAAAUUACUGAUGAAGCAGCAUGUGUUGGUGGCAUGUGCACUGGCCUGCCAUGACAGCCCUCUGACCGGCCCCCCAGUGAAGAGUAAAGGCCUGCCUGCCGCAGGCUUCGGAGGCGUCUGCUGAGUCCUCUCACCCGCAUGGGUCUGGGGAAGUGAUCACGCCCAGCCGACGGUCUGAUCACACUUCAUCCUCCCCCCG
rnacentral:sRNA from 1 species